UGCACACACUCUUCUAAAAGAAAUUACCGCAGCGCCCACCUGGACAAGGUCAUCGCACGUGUGACGCAGGAAACUUAACUCAAACAAGUUGCCCUCUAGGUGCAUCUUGGAUGGAACAGUACUUGAUCUUCAUCCCAAGGAAAUCAGUGUAUUAAAUUUGUUU
rnacentral:lncRNA from 1 species